rnacentral:tRNA from 1 species
CGAUCUUCGGCCUGCACGACGUAGCGGCCAUCCUCGUCGAUGUCGAGGAUCAGGUCGGGAAUGACGUUCGCGACGUGCGAGUCGUUGUAGAUCGA